CCUCUCCCCCCCCCCCUCCCCCCUCCACCCUUUCCCUCCUAUUCUUAGGAUGGUACUUCAUUACAAUGAAGUAUCAGAAAAGAAAAAUUGCUUCAGGCUCUGUCCUGGAAUACAUGGUCUAAAACUACCCCCUAUUUUACUGUUCUUGCUAAAAUACAAAUUUGAAUCUGAAGUGCCUAGAUCUAGCUUUCAAUUUAUAGAAGACAGAAGGGACAGAACACAAAUGACACCAUGGGAAUAAAAUCUGCAAAUCUAGAUUCUGGAACCAUUCACAGAGCAGAUGAUCCAGUUUUAAGGAACCGUAGAAAGAAUCUAAAUGGGUUUGGAUUUGGAUCUUGGUGGAAAAUAGAGGUUUCAAGGGUAUUGGUGAAACUUAAUUUUUUGAGAUGAAUUGUUUAUAAACAUAGAUGUUUACGAAGUCUUUAAAAUUGCAUAGGUCAUAAAUAUUUCAACUAAAACAGUAGCUAAAUUGCAGGGGUAGGGGAACAAAGUUGGAAAUGACACAAUGAUUAGGUUUUUCGUUAGGAUUCCAAGGCUUCAGUAGUUGGAAGAAAUGUACCUCUAACCAAUUCUAUACAACGUUCAUUAGUGACCUGUUGAGGGUUUGAGAAAAUGGUCAUCUUAAAGAUCCCAAGACCUUCAGAAGUGCUUAACUCAGAUGAUGGUGCCUCUUACCAAAACAAGAGGCAAGGUGAGAGGAAGAACUUUCAUUCUGUUGGAGCUUGACUCCUACAGGUCAUCCAGAUAGAAAGACAUUGGAAACUAGACUUGACAGAACCCUGGGUUGAAUAGGGGACCUGCAGAUGAGAAAGCAUGAGAUGGUUAGUGAUUGAGCUUACCCCGUGUUUUUCUCUUGGACCCUGUUUUGGGGGACACCCAAGCUGAGGAUGAGUCCCAAAGUUAGUGAGAAAUGAGAGACCACAAAGAUGCAUUGAGCUGGUCAUCUCUACGGAUGACCAAUUGCUUCAUCCACUGACUACCAGGGGAAGAAAGAAAAAUUUAUCCAGGAGGUUUCAUGGUCCCUAUUGAUCAAAUAUUGCCAAGUAUAACUCCAUGCUUUUCUGGGUCACAUGUGCAUAAGUGCUGAGCAGAUUUUCACAGCCAUCUAUGUGAUAGUGUUAGAAGCUCCAGGACCAGAUGCCAGGUGGGUGACAUGAUAUUGGGUUGCUCUCAGGUGAAACUGGUGUCUGUUGCAAUGGCUUAAAGGAUAGGUGAGGUCAGCAUUCGAAGUGGCACACAAACAUUUUCAACCCAUUCCAGGGGAGUAUAUAGAGAAAUAAACAUAACUGAGUCCCUAGGCAAUGCCAACUUUUAAGGGACAAGUAGAAUAAGGUGACUUUAGGGGGACUUCAAGGGUUAAUAGUGACGGAAAGAAGAAAUUUUGCCACAGAAGUCAAGGCAAAAGAGUUUUCAAAAAAGAUUAGAAAAAUGGUAUCAAACAUAGCAAAAACCAAACAAGGUAGGCUGUGAAUAAUUGGGGAAAUCAUUAGCUGUAGUCUAGUUCUGGAAUGAAAUUGAUAAAAGGCUGCAACAUACAAAUGGAUUGUGCUCUGGACCAAGGACAGUGGUAUGUCUGUGUACUUCUACCAUAUGUAUACACUGUUGUAGUAUGUACAUUUGUAGACACUCAAAAUCAUAACAUUUUUUAAUACAAGGCCUCUUCACUAUGAAAAUAUUAAUUUGUCAGUGAUGUGAAUAUAAGUACUCUAUUUGCAAAAGCUUUUUUUUUUUUUAACACCCUUUGAUACAGCAUUCUCAGGAUCUAGGUUUAGCUUUGUUUUGAUUGUUGAUUUUUAAGGAUUGUCAUAGCUGAGAAAGAUACUUUACAAAGAUUGGUAGCUCCAAAUGAAGGAACUACACCGUUGGUGGUUUAUUAUGAAACGCGGUGUUUAGUUCUCUUUUCAAUUAUGCAAAACUUUUUUUGUCAUUUGUGGAAAACUCCCAUCCUCCAUGGCAAUUGUUGCAAACUAAUUGGAAGGUGUUGGAUUUCUACAUCUAACCAGUUAGCCCAAACCUGCUGAAACUGUUUGAAAACAUAAUCUUUUAAUCUGUUGAACUCUUCCAGAUUUCAUCUGCAGGCUCAAGAGACUUCAGAUAACUUGUUUCCAUUGUUGAGACUUUAUACUGGGAAAAAUGUCAAAAUGUGCUUUUAAAAUACUCUGUGCAUAACAUGAAUUUCUUCAAAAGAGGUUGUCCCUGUAUCAUUGCUAUAACUCCACUUUUACCUCCUGUCAAGGUCUGCAAAUGGUGAACAUAUAAAGGUUUUCAGACAAAUGCAUAACUUCUUUUUAAGUACAUCCUUUCCUAUUUGAGAUAAGGAGUGAUUAAUUUUCUCAUACUAAGACAUUUGGUUCAUAGGGCAAAGUAUCCUAAAGAGUUGACUAUGCUUUAAGUCUUGUUUUCAUGAAAUUAGUUCCACCAGUGACCUCUUAGCACUAUGUACAUUGUUUUCAACUUCCUCCUGGUAACUCCGUCUGUAAUGAUGUGAUGGAUGCAUUGCACGUGGUGUAAUAUCUGUAAGCUUACUUAUUUUCUAUGAAGGGGUCAUUUAACGUUGAAUGUGGCUUACAAAAGUAAUUUUAGGUAUAUAUCAUUUUUGAAAUAGAACCUGGCAGAUACCACAAUCUGAGACAUGUUCAAAACAUUUAUACUUUCAUCCAACAGUAUAGCAACCUCUCCCACGCUAUGUAAUUUGUUCUAAACCUUGCUUUUUCAAAUCUGCAGUAUUUUCUGUGCAUCUGCCAAUAGUAUUUGGUGAUAACAAAAUACAUUUGGCUUAUUCUAUUGUUUUGGGGUAUUCUAGCAAUUUCUAUAAUGGUAGGAAGAGUCAAGUGUUUCCCCAGUGAUAAAUGGAUUUUUAGCUUUCACUCUUAAACAUUGAUGGCUAAAUUUAGUGAAAUCUUGAGUACUGGAAGCAUUACAUAACUCUACAGAGCACUGCUAUCAGUGCAAGUUCCCUAUGUUCUGCAUGCUUAGUAUAAAUCUAUCAGGAUCAGCAAGACUUCAAAAAUAACAUUAACCUAUCAAGUCACUGUAUAUACUUAGGAAAUGGGACUUUUCUAUUACUGACGAAUAUUACCUUAAUAGUCCUGGUAACUUUAAUUCUUUUGGCAGAUUUAUUGAACUGAUUAUACUCCUAACAUGGUUACUAAUUCGUAGUAGUAGAAAUUAUCAGCUUUUAUGCUCUUAGGUGCUUGUAUCCAUCUCUUAAAUCUAAAAUUGUAGCAAUCUGAAUCCCAUGCUGCCCAUGUUGUGAGGAUUGACUUAAAUAAUUUCCAUUGCUCAGUGAUGUUUUGCCCUAAGUGGAUUGAUGGAUGAGCCAUGCAUGAGGGAGCCUUGGUCAGCAUCUCCAGAUUGGGGAGUUCCCUCUUGUGUCCCAGGUACCCUCUGACCAAUUCACAGAUGAAUAGAGAUCAACCUAUGUAUCCAUUAUCCUUAUCAGAAUUUAGACAUCCGUGUGAGAAUCUGUAUGCCCCAAUAGGUUUACUGGGAUAGGUUGUGGGUAUAUCCACCUCAAUUUGGAGACUCCUGAUACAAUGAAUAUUUUAGGGAACUGAUCUGUGAGGAAUUCAGUUUAGGAAACAAAUUGAGAAUUUUUUCCUUUUUUUUUUUUUUUUUAAUGCAGGUGACAGGAUUAUUACACUAAGGGAAAGAAACAUUGGAAGAAAAGUUGAAGGUGCAGGAGAAGAAAUAAUGGACUUCGAGAUUUUGCCUCCAAUAGCCUGCGUCUGUACCUCCUGUUUGGACGAUUGCCCUCAAACUUGGAACCACCUCAUCUGCAGGUGCAGAGAGCCAGAAGAAACUGAGUUUGUCUCCCUGGGGGCAGUCCUUAGCCAAUGACUGUCCCUACCUGAGGCAAAGGAGCUGGGUUUUCAGAUCUCUGCACCCAUAAAACUUAGACCUAGCUUUUGCCCCAGAGUUCCCCUAUAGGAUCAGGCUGCAGCCUGCCCUCAGUGGGACUUUGCCUGAAUCAUAUACCUGCUUUGAUUUAUUCCCUUUCUCUCUCCUGCUUUCCAGACUCCCUCAUUAUCCUCCUUGGAAUUUUUCCUUAAUAAACCAUUCAUCUCAGGGUCAGUUUCUGGGGAAGAUCCAAAGUAUAUAUUACAUUUCUCCCUCAAUAAAUAGCAACUUUUAGCCUAUCAAGAUUAAAGAACAAAACAAACUGCAUGCUACUCUGCAUUAAACACCUCACUAUAGAUUUUAAAAGUAGGUUUUUCCUAAACUCCUAUCUAAUUUGCAGAAGAUCUUAGGUACUACACAGGAAUUUGGGACCAAAGAAAACCAGCAUGGAGGAGAAAAUUCCUUGAUUACUGGUCCAAUCAGAUCCUAGCAGGAAAGAUAGGGUACAUUUCAUGGAUUUAACUAAAGAGUAGUUAAUAAAGGGACUACUUAAGGAGGCAGAAGUAAAGUUAAAGGAACUAAGAAUAGUGAGGCACCAAGAGAACAUCAACAGAUUGAGCUGUUACUAC